CUGGUUGCUACUCUUCUGCCACUGCAGCGCGCAUCCUCUUGCCGUCUACCUGGCCUCGUGCGCGCGCAAGUGAGGAACGCAGUGCAUUUUCAUUGUGUCCCUCUGUGAUGUGGCUGCAGCGCCUCAACGCUGUCGCCAAUCCUGCCGUACCCGAUUUUACUCCCGUCCACGUGUGCUUGCGGCUGUCUUCUCUCUGCUCCCCCUCCCCCUCCCAGACACACGCACACGCACACAAGGUGUAUAGAGAGGCUCCGGGCUGCCUUUCAAGGCAUCUGUGGUCUUGAGAUCGCCUCUGUGGGUUCUCUUAUAUAUACAUAUACACAUAUAUACUGCUUCUCGGUAUUUAAGCUCGUGAGAAUGGAAUGCGCCGACACUGUGCUUCUCAUUGCGUCUUACUUGACGAAGAAGGAACUCAUGGCGCUGAGCGGAGUCUCGCAUCUGUGUCGGAAGAUCGUCAGCGACUCGUUCAUAUCGUAUGAAGAGAAGAAGUACUUGGUGUGGCCCUGCCUGAGAGACGACUACGUCGAGCUUGCUCCACCUAGUCAGAUUUUGGCUCUCGGUGUUCUGGAGAAGGAGCAGAGGCUUCUGGUGCUCGUGCGCAGCGGCACAGACACAUCCAACAUCGACGAAAUGGAAUGCUACUUGUACACCCAGCUGGUGGACGACGAUGGGUACGUGGCGGAGCACCAAAGGGAGCUUCCUGCUUGUUUUGCCUUUCCAUCCUCGCUCGUGCAUUUUAGCGGGAAUCGGUACCUCCUGUGCAAAACGCGCGAAGGGGAUUUGCACGUUUUUGACUGCCUUAUCGAGACCAUGAUUGAGGUGCCGGUCGGGACAGACGGCUUUUACGCGUCUCCAGACGGCGAUCACUUUCUGCUCGACUACAAUCGCCACGUCUUCUUCUGCACCGCCAGCGUUCACAUUGCGUGCUGGUUGGAGAUGACCCCAGUCGACUGCAAGCGGCAUGAGGGCACCUACAACGCAGCGUCGAACCUGCCGCCGUCCGCCCUCGUAGCGACCCACCUGCGCGCGCAGAUUGUGCCGCUGUCUGAUCCCUUCAGCAGCUGCGGUAACAGCACUAGCGGCAGCGCCCCCGCGCACGUGGAUACGACCCACCCGGCGCCACCCUUGCACUUUUACCUGGGCACAAGCAGCGCUGCCUGGCGAACAUUUUGGAUGGGCAGCAGCUCUGCUCUGUGCGCCAAUGAAGACGGCGUGAGUCUGCUCAAGAUCAAUAACUACCCUGAAAUGGUCGCGGAACGACUGACCUCUCUUUCUUCCUCGUGCUCGGACUUUGUGGACAGAAGCUGCGGAGACGUUUACGGCACCCCAUGCGAGGAUAGUGACGAGUACGCCGUGAUGAACUGCCGAGAAGUGCGGUUGCACACAGUGAGCUACUGGCCAAUGCGGUGUUCGACAACCGAGGUGCGGGCCAUCGACCUGAAUUCCAUUGUCCCGAGUCUCGCAACUAUCAAGAGCGUCCGCAUCGCCGUGAGCCGCGUCACGUAUCUCAUCUACAUGCAACACCAAGACCUGGACAGGGUGCUGCUGCUCUCCUCAGAUCUCACGCUGACGCGGUGGAUCUCGAUUGGGCGUCCAUCGUGCUAUGUGCUGUGGCGUCAGCAGGUAUCGCUCGUCACAGCGAGCCUCUCGGACGGCGCUGGCGACAACUACCAUCCGCUCGUGGAGGCGGUGGAGGGCGGACUCGGCUGCGUUUACACGUUUGGGGUGCGACUGCCCGAAGGCUCGUCUACAGGCGCGGCGGAUCCGUUUGUGACGGCCGUGGACGGCGGCGCCGGCCCCGCUGGAGCAGGCCGCUUCUUGAUGCUACCGCAGUCCUUCACAGGCGUAGAGGCGCUCUCCUGGAUGGCGUUCGGUGUCGUGUCCUCCUCGCUGCUAUGGACGGUAUCAGCGCUGUGCUACAAUGGCUGGUGGUUGCACUUGCAGCUUCUUAUUCGGGGGAAGGUGGCCUAGUCCUGAUGUCUUCAGUUCGUUUCUGCGCGUGUCUCUGUUUUUGCUGCGGCGAGGAGGGGGCAGUAAUGACAUAGGGCGAGACAAAAUCAUUGGAUGGGAGGAUGGGAGAAUGGGGGGAGGGGAAGGAGAAGGGUUGUGUGGAGACCCCGAGAAGCGGCGUACUUGCGGUGUCCGAUACAUCGCUCUCCGUUCACACACACACACACACACACAUGCAGGCAAUCAUUGGGGAAUGUCGGAUGAAUGCGUCCACACAUACAAUCCGGCACGGCUUGUAUUGCAAUGCAGUCUUGUGCGAAGCGAUUUCCCUGCCUGCGCUCUCGCAACGCUUCGUUUCUUUCCGUUCUUGCUUGCUCACUUUCCGUUUCCCUCGAGCUCUUUGUUCUGCACGGCACUUCACCCCUGCUUUCCUUUGUGAUAACAUGGUCCACUGAGUACUUUGCGCGUGCUCGAACAUUUUUUUUUGAUUGCUCUUCACGCGCGUGUGUGUUUCUCUUUACAUUCUCCUGGCCCCGUCCUCUCCGUCUGCUGUGGCUUUGAUGCUGGUGACACUUCCCUCGCCAUUGCCGUACUCCCCUCCCUCCUGCUUCUCUCCAUUUGUGUCUUUCCGGUCGAGCGGCGGCUCACGGGCUUCCCCUGCUCUCUUCAUAUCCAUCCAACACCACCCACACUCCGUUCCUCUUGUUUGCACUUGAGUGAGGGCCAAGUUCCUGUGGGCCCCUCUGCUGCCAGCGCAUGUUGUUGCACCUGCCCUUCUCUCCUCAAGCACGCUCAUAUGCCCUGGCAGUAUGCAUAUAAAGCGUACGCUAUCGGUGAUCCAUUUGCCUCUUUUCGUUUCAUGUUUGACCUGGCACGUGCUCUUAUCUUCUGUUCGUGUCUGGCUUUCCGUUUUCACUUCAGCGCAUACCCCCCUCCCUCCCCUCCUCCCUGUGGUGCGCGGAGUCGCUGAUGUAUGAUGGGUGAUGUUGAUGUUGUGUGUCGACAGAGGAGACGCACUGACGGGCAUUUAGCUCGGGCACCGAAGGCAUUCACUGCUGUAAUCACCGACGGAGUGAGGCAAGGACGUUUUUUGUGCUGAGUGGAUAACUUGUGAUGCGUGGUAUCCUUUUUGUGUCUUUUGCAUGACACUUUUUGCCGAAUAUCACCGCUGCGUCACGCAUGUGAGAGGGGUUGCCUGUGAGCACAACACUGAUACACUUGACAAAACGUAGAGGCAGAGACGGGGCAGGGAAGGGGAAUGAUACACACACACACACACACACACACGCGUUCGAGCACGUGAGGAGGCUACAAGACACCAUGCGGAGCUAGGUGUGUCCUCGCCCCGCAAGUGCCUGUGCUUGAUGAGCUUAUACCCCUGGCCGUCCGCCGAAUUCGCUCGCCACGUACCUUCUCGUUUCUCUAGCCCUCUUUAUCUUUUUUAUUCUUUCAUUUGUUGUUGCCGUUGCCCUUCCCUUUUUUACCACCUUUUUCAAAGUGUCUGCUGCUGGGGAUACGACAGAUGGGCUGCAGCAUCAUGUGCGCAUGCUUCUCAACCUCCCAGAGUAGCUGUGGGUGGGUCGGUCGGCCUGUGUGUGUAUGUGUGGGCGUGUGCGUGUCUGUGCGGGAACUAUAGAUGUGCGCUCCUUUGCCUUGAUUUCGUUUUCUGCUUUCGUUCUCGCUCGCGCGCUCUCUCCCAAUUCUUCCCGCCUCUUUUUUCUUGAUUACACCUGCUACGAUGUCCGCGUAACCGGAUCAUUUCUGUGAUGAGUCUAUCUUUAGCGCCGGGGCUUUGGGGAUAUCGUGUGGUUUAUUCCAGUACUUCCUCCCCCUUACGACC
rnacentral:misc_RNA from 1 species